rnacentral:rRNA from 1 species
GCAUGGCUGUCGUCAGCUCGUGUCGUGAGAUGUUGGGUUAAGUCCCGCAACGAGCGCAACCCUUGCCUUUAGUUGCCAGCAGUUCGGCUGGGCACUCUAAAGGGACUGCCGGUGUUAAACCGGAGGAAGGUGGGGAUGACGUCAAGUCCUCAUGGCCUUUAUGACCAGGGCUACACACGUACUACAAUGGCCGAUACAAAGGGCAGCGACACUGCGAGGUGAAGCCAAUCCCGUAAAAUCGGUCUCAGUCCGGAUUGGAGUCUGCAACUCGACUCCAUGAAGUUGGAAUCGCUAGUAAUCGUGGAUUCAGCACUGCCACGGUAGAAUAACGUUCCGGGCCUU